AUGUCGCGCUUUACAUCACUCUUUGCGACAGUCGUGCCUUACAUCACUCUUUACGACAGCAGCGCUUUAUGGCCCCUUUUACAACAGUCGCACUUUACGGCCGGUUUUGCGACAGUCGCUCUUUAUGGCCCCUUUUACGACAGUCGCACUUUAUGGCACCUUUUACGACACUUUAUGACAGUCGCGCUUUACGGCAGUUUUACGACAGUUUUACGACAGUCGCGCUUUACGGCAGUUUUACGACAGUCGUGCUUUACGGCACAUUUUACGACACUUUAUGACAGUCGCGCUUUAUGCCCCCUUUUACGACAGUCGCGCUUUACGGCACAUUUUUACCACAGUCGCGCUUUACGGCACCUUUUACGACAGUCGCGCUUUACGGCAAUUUUACGACAGUCGCGCUUUACAGCACAUUUUACGACACUUUACGACAGUCGCGCUUUACGGCAGUAUUACGACAGUCGCGCUUUACAGCAUUUUACGACACUUUAUGACAGUCGCGCUUUACGGCACAUUUUUACCACAGUCGCGCUUUACGGCAAUUUUACGACAGUCGCGCUUUACGGCACCUUUUACAACAGUCGCGUUUUACGGCUCAUUUUACGACACUUUACGACAGUCGCGCUUUACGGCAGUUUCACGACAGUCGCUCUUUACGGCCCCUUUUACGACAGUCGUCCUUUACGGCACCUUUUACUUGGAACAACACUGUCAAAAUUGCCCUCACUGAAUGCCUCCUCAAUUCCCAGAGGUAAAACUAAAUGUCUGGUCUGGGAGAUUGUAAGGAUUGGGUGUUUUGUUUUCUUGAUCUGAUAAAUGAUCAGAACACUUCAAAUCAUGGGCAACUGCUUCAUUCCAGCAAGUUUUAACCCCGCCCCUAAAAUUCAAGGUCUACAUUCAAGACACACUCCAAGCAAUGUACACUGAAGGUUAAGAAUUUAUCUAGCACUUUUGAAUAUAGUGUUUAAUGCACUGAAUUAAAAAUUCAAAUCAUACUAGGUUCCAGGCUGGGGCUCACAAACAUGUUGUGAUCACCAAGUACCAAACAUCAUUAAAACCUGUCAGGAGCACACUGAAGAUCAGGAGAACCCAGACAAUGUGAGAGACAAGAACACACUGCAGAGCCCAGCUGGCACAACCUGCAUUUCAGGAUCUGAGUCCUAACAUGCAACAAGGUUUCCCGUGUGUGCCAUUCCACAGUCAGUUCCUGACUUGUCCCACAGUACCUGGACCAUCCAUCGUCUGCAGUCCCAGAGAAAUGGGGUUUAAACUGAUACUUAUUUAAACUUUACUCCAUUUAAGCCAAAUACUCUGUAAAAUUUCUGAAAAAUUAACCACUUGCAUGUAAAAACUACACAAAUCUUCAUUCUGUAACUGACAACACAAAUAAUGUUUCAUUUGCACUCUAAAAAUUACAUUUCUGUACAGUAAAGCACAACUUAAACCCUUCUCAGGUAUUCAAGUCCUACCCAAGAAAGGAGAAUGAAAGUUAUUAUAAUCUGGCUAAAGCCAUGGAGAUUUAUGGAGAUACCUUAAACAGAGCUGUAACAAUUUGACAAAGGAGAGCACAUCCAAAUUUUGAGCCAUGCAGAAGGGAGUUCCCAGAGGUGCUGCUUGAGGUGUCUGCACAUGGAAUGACUGGACACCCAUCAUGGCAGAUUUUGUAUUACUGAACUUCUUGUACAAAAGCUGAUUUCAAAUAAAACAUUUAAUGAAAAACA
ensembl:lncRNA